rnacentral:rRNA from 1 species
UGGGGAAUAUUGGACAAUGGAGGGAACUCUGAUCCAGCAAUUCUGUGUGUGUGAAGAAGGUUUUAGGACAGUAAAACACUUUUAGUAGGGAAGAAAAAAAUGACGGUACCUACAGAAGAAGCAACGGCUAAAUACGUGCCAGCAGCUGCGGUAAUACGUAUGUUGCGAGCGUUAUCCGGAAUUAUUGGGCUUAAAGGGCAUCUAGGCGGUAAGACAAGUUGAAGGUGAAAACCUGUGGCUCAACCAUAGGCUUGCCUACAAAACUGUUGAACUAGAGUACUGGAAAGGUGGGUGGAACUACACGAAUAGAGGUGAAAUUCGUAGAUAUGUGUAGGAAUGCCGAUGAUGAAGAUAACUCACUGGACAGAAACUGACGCUGAAGUGCGAAAGCUAGGGGAGCAAACAGG